CUGCUACUCUUUAGUUCUGUUCUGCAGGAAUCCACCCCCCUCUCCCCGCCACAGCCCCUCUCCUCCUGCCCUUUAAACCCUGUUCCUCCCCGUGCAGACAUGUCUCCCUGGCUGUGACUCAUUCGCUCUCUCUUUCCCUCUGGCUCUGGCCCUGGCCCUUUGCUGAUCUCUUGCAACGAGCACACACAGCAGCUCAGGGAAGGGAAAGGGCUCUCUCCGCUUUACGGCUGCUGAAAACCCUCCCUCCCCAGCCAGCUCAGUGCAGCCGCGCCGCGCCGCGCCCGGGCUCGCUCCUCUCCAAGAUUUCUCAGCUGGACAUUGGAAAUAGCUUUUGAUGGUUCUGGGCUUCUUUCAUUUGACCCAGGCAGAUUAAUCUAGAGAUCUGCACUCAAGACUAGAAAUAUGCCUUCAUGAAAAGGUGUCUUGCAGUGACCCUUGCUGUCUUGGCUUUAAGGUA